UACGGAGGGGGCUAGCGUUGUUCGGAAUUACUGGGCGUAAAGCGCACGUAGGCGGCUGUGUAAGUUAGAGGUGAAAGCCCGGAGCUCAACUCCGGAAUUGCCUUUAAGACUGCAUCGCUAGAAUUGUGGAGAGGUAAGUGGAAUUCCGAGUGUAGAGGUGAAAUUCGUAGAUAUUCGGAAGAACACCAGUGGCGAAGGCGACUUACUGGACACAUAUUGACGCUGAGGUGCGAAAGCGUGGGGAGCAAACAGG
rnacentral:rRNA from 1 species